rnacentral:rRNA from 1 species
GACGAACGCUGGCGGCGUGCCUAACACAUGCAAGUUGAGCGACGAAACGGGGCUUGCCCUGGGGCAAAGCAGCGAACGGGUGAGUAAGACGUGGGUAACCUACCCCGAUAACCGGGACAACCCGAGGCAACACGGGCUAAUACCGGACGUGCUCACUGGACUUCGGUUCAGUGCGAAAAGGAAACAUCGGCCUCCGUUCCGGGAGGGGCCCGCGGCCCAUUCGUUUGUUGGUGAGGUAACGGCUCACCAAGCCCGCGAUGGGUAGCUGGUCUGAGAGGACGAUCAGCCACACUGGGACUGAGACACGGCCCAGACUCCUACGGGAGGCAGCAGUGGGGAAUCUUGCGCAAUGCGCGAAAGCGUGACGCAGCAACGCCGCGUGGGGGAAGAAGGCCUUCGGGUUGUAAACCCCUUUCAGGAGGGACGAAGGUUCGGCGGUGAAUAGCCGUCCGGACUGACGGUACCUCCACAAGAAGCCCCGGCUAACUACGUG